AAUAAUGCAUCCUGUAGAAUGAUUAUGUGUACAGCCUCAUCUUUAAGUCCCACUGUUGCACCUGCCUUUAUUAUUUCUAAUUUUGCACUUGAUUGUCAGCAAUUCCAGCGUCUGAGGUGAUGAAUUCUAUUUUUUCCUUCCACUGCUCUCCCUCUACUGGAAUACUGAUGUAUUUACAUUAUAGGCUGUAAUGUAUUUCAGUAGAGGGAGCACAGUUAAGGAAAGUCCUGCUUGUAAUACCCCUUAUGCAGAAUAGAGCCUUUGCUCUCCCUGGAAAAGAAAGGAGGAAAGGGAGAGGUGUAGUCAGAGUAGCUUAGAGAGAAUAUAUGAACAAAGGCUCUGCCAAUUUUAGAAGGAUAUAAAGAAACCAAAGCCAACACAUUCCUAAUUCAGUGAAUCUGAGUUUUUUGUUUCUCAAAUGGCUUCAAUACUUUGGGGUUGAUAAUGGAGACUCUCUGUUACCAACCCUGUAAUUUACACAGAUAAAUAUACUGUAGUUAUUGGUUUCCAAGUUCACUGAAAUGUUGUAUUGGGACUGGUGGUUUUCCCCAAAUAAAGAGACUUGUAUGGGAUCUUAAAUCUUAGAAAAGUUUUGAGCAGUUUCAGCCUUUUUACAUUGAACUGGAUUUAAAGAUUGGAAAGAUCAACUUCUUUUUAAUUGCACUUUAUGAUGCCGUUGGCCUUAAAGCAUUUUACAAGUGAAUCUGCUAUGCAAAGAACCUUUUUGGUAAAGCAAGACCUUGUUACCCUUAGCACCUACCAGGAACAUCCCUAAACUUGGAUGGUGAAGUAAGACCGUAUUUAAAUACAUCCUUGGAAGGGAUGAAAUGCUCAGAAUUUGGCAGCAAUUCACCUCUGACAGCCUAGUUCUUAAGCCACGUGCAGUCUAAUUGGUGGUGAUAGCUUUUAACAAAUGUUUUAACAAACAUUUUCACAAAUUAAAAUUUUUUCCUACUUAGUUUUCUCAUGUCCUCAGUGAAGUUACUUUUGUGUUCACCCUGGUACUUAGUAAAGUGCCUGAUACAUGGUAGGCAACCAGGAACUGCAUGAUAAAUUGGACCCAUUAUUAAACCUUAUAAACUACAUAUCAUUUAAAGGUGUAGACAGAACUAAAGUUCUGAGUUGUAAGACAUCAUCAGAAGUACACUGGCAGAAGUACUGACUAAUACCAUGCAAGGCAUUCUGCCAUAUUACAAUAACUUAUAUGAAAUGAAUAUAAAUUGGAUUUUUUUAUUUUAAUGGAACCAGGGCUUGAACUCAGGGCUUCAAGCUUGCAAAGCAGGUGUUCUACCACUUGAAUCAAACCUCCAGUGCAAAAAAAAGUAUAAAGUGUAUGAGUUACUUUCUUUUCUUGUUUUAGGGUAUGAAGAGUGGAUUAUUUAUGAACAUGGUCAUCAAGUCUUUAUUAUGGCUUGUAGGAAAAUUAAAGAUUUGAGUUUCUGUUGUACUCUAGUUUAUAAAUGGUGUUCUUUUUAUAAAGAACACUUCUAAAAUGUCGAAAUUUGAAUAUCAGAUGCACUUUCUCAGCUUGCAGUUUUGACUUUUGUUGGUGAUUCCUUCCAGUUAUUAGGAAAUCCCAAACUAUGGAUAUCAGAAUCAGCCUUUGCUAGAAGGAGUGGGGCUUUUUGAUGUGUAUGAAAGAAUGUAGUAAAAUGCAGUGUCUGUAGCAAAACAGAAUUGGGUGGGGAGAUGCCAGGAAUUGCUUGUCAUUCUCUUGUCUCCACAUCCUUUCCAAUUUGGUAGUCAAUUUUCUGGGUAAGGAUUGAACUGAACUGAUCAGUGUUACAUAAGACAUUUGUGUUAAGCUUUGCACCAAGUGCUUUCAAAGGAUCUUUUCCUGUAAUCCUUGGAAACCUGGCCUUAUCUCCAUUUUACAGAUAAAGAAACUGAGAUACUGGCAAGUUUAGGUAACUUUCAUUAGUGGAAGAACUAGUAUCUGAAUCCAGUAAUGACAAUAUUGGCUCUAAAUCCUACCUCAUUUUCCUUAUCUGUUCACUAUAAAUUAUACAACUAAUGCCUUGUACACUGUGAGUAUUAAGAUAAUACUGCAAGGUACCUAUGGAACAUACCUGACUUCUCAUAGAUACUCAGUUAUUAAUAAUCUCCCUUAGCUAUGAGAAUACUUAAUUUUUUUUUUAUCUUGAGCUCUUUUCUGUUUUCUUUAUACUACCAAUCAAAAACUUUUGAAGGCAACAAAAUUGGUAUCAGCAGGAAUUAGGACAGAAGUUUAAAGGAUUGUAAGUUGCUACACUAAUUCCCAUUAGUGAAUUGUGAAAUAUUUUACACGUGAAAGAAGAGAAAUCGGGCAAUGUCUUGAAGCAAGACCACACUUCACAUUUGCCCUUUUCAUUAUUUUUAUUCUCUGUGUUUUACUUUCAGGAAUCAGAAGAGGUGUGCUCAACCAGCAAGCUCUCUUUAGAAUCUAAAUGGCUGCUGCCCUAACCUUUUCAAUAGCAGUUGCAAGUGCCAUUAAAAUUCUGAUUUUCAUUUAUUUAAAUGUAGAAUUACAAAACUCAAAGUAAUUAAUGAAUUAAGUACUUGAAUCUAGGGAAACAGAGGUUGGCUGUUUUCAUGUCACUAGGAAUGACAAACGUUUCCGUGAUUCACAAUGAGUGAAGAAUUGAAAGUUUGUGCUGUGGACAUGCGGGUUAUGUUAAGUUCAGCGUUAGGAACCAUAUUGUUGCCAAGGGAAUAUAUGUUUUAACUACUGUUUUUCUCAUUGACAUUCUUGUGUAGGAAGUUAAAACUGUAGAGAUGAUUUUUUAGAUUUUAGAUCCUUUCAUUCAUCCCUUGGUAUCCCAAAGGAAUUGGUUCCUGGACUCCCACAGAUACUAAAAUUUGUAGCUGUUCAAGUCCCUUCUAUAAAAUGACCUAGUAUUUGCAUAUCAUAGCCUGCAGAUAUCCUCCUGUACUCCUUAAAUCAUCUCUAGAUUACUAUAAUGCCUGAUACAGUGUAAAUGCUAUGAAAAUACAUAUUAUACUAUAUUUAGGGAAUAAUAACAAACUAAAAAAAAAUCUGUACAUGUUCAGUAGAUGGACAGCUUUUUAGAAAAUACAUUUACAACCCAUGGUUGGUUGGAUCUGAGGAUGCAGAGGGUCACCUGUAUUUUGAUAAGGACUGGUUUCACUUUUUGGACUUGUUUGUAUGCAAUCCAGGAAACUAAACCAACAAACAAAAAAGUCAUGCCAUUUAUGCUUGUAUCUUUCUCUGUGUGUAUGCUUUAAAAUAGCUUUUUGUUUGUGGGCUUUUAUUUAAUUGAUUGGGACAGAAUCUUGGUGUGUUGCUCAGGCUGCCCUCAACCUUGUGGGCUCAAGAGAUCUUCCUGUUUCAGCCUCUGCAGUAGCUGGCUGCAUGCCAACAUGCCCAAUCAAACUUUUACAUUUUGAACCUAAACCAAAACUUUUUGAAUUUAUUUUUACUUACUAAAAUUUUAUAUUUCUGCAACUUGGACCUUGUUUCUUGAACAAAGAAUUUGACUACCUCUCACCCCAGACAUUUGAAAUUAAAAAAAAAAAAAAAAGAGUAAGCCUACAUCCUUCCUACUUAGAGAAAUGCCUGUAGGCAAGUGGCUCUGAAGAGGUUACAAGGGUGCUGAUGAUACUACAGUGUGAAACAUGAAUGAUCAGAAUCACAGUUUUUGUACAAAGCUUCACAUGUUCACAUCACUUUGAGGUAACAGUAAUAAUACAAACACGGAACGUGCUUGAUGUGGUCUGCUACUGUUGCAAGUAUCUUGAGUGCUUUAGUUCAUUAAGUUGCCUUUUAUUUUACCAUUUUUCAAACCUAUCAUUAAUGUUAUGCGUAUGUGCAUAUUGGUGAAGCAUGGUAAAUUUUAUGGGUCAAUGCCUAAUUUAGUGAAUAAAAUCGGACCAAAAUCAGUAUCUUAAAAAACAAAACAAAAAACUCACGUUUUCUGGGAAUUCUAUACAUUCUCCUAAGCUCUGGGUUCUCACCCUACUCCAGAAAAGACAACCAUAACAUGUCAAGUUCAAAGUGAAUCAGAUUUCUAAAUGGCAAGAUUCUUAUUUUGGAUGCGAAUGAAUCAUUUCCAGGAGCAACAGAAGGGGAAAUACCGAAAUUUUGGGAAGUGUCUCCAAAACAUGAAAACGGAUUAAAGACCGCCUCUCUCGCAUCUCCUCCCUCUUACUCUGCUUUCGUGAUCCCCAUUUUUGCUGUGACCUCCAGUUGUGGACAUUUGAGGCACACGUGGGCGGCCUCGCGCGCGCGCGCGCGGGGCUUGAGGCUGACACCUGGGCCGGCACCUGGCGGCAUUUUCACACCUGCCGGUGGUUCCCUACUUGCUGGGUGUCCGCUCUGUGGCGGCUUCCCAUUCAUGCUUUUUGACAACUGUGCGGCAGCCCGCAAGCCAAGUGCCUUAGUGCCCAAGCUUCUCUACCCCCGGGCUCCAAGCCCCAGAGGGAGGGCCCUGCGACGGCACGCGUUGAUGCACCGGGGCCGGCCGGCCGGCUCCUCCAUAGGUGACUGCGUUUCCGACUUCGCCCUGGCUCCACUCCGGGGGCUUGACGUGCAAACUUCGCCGGAGCGAGCUGAGAGGGAGGGACCGGCGAGGGGGAGGAGGCGACGGGAGGCGCCUCAGCUUAAGGGAGCCGGCCCGGCGCCGCCGCUCGGACGGACGCGCGGACGGAAGGAAGGAGCGGGGCCGCCGGGCCCGGCCCGGGGAUGCGAGCGGCCGCAGGGUGGGCAGCCAGAAAGCAAGGGAGCGGAAAGAAUGUCGGAGCGGGCCGCAGAUGACGUCAGGGGGGAGCCGCGCCGCGCGGCGGCGGCGGCGGGCGGAGCAGCGGCCGCUCGGCAGCAACAGCAGCAGCCUUCGCAGCCCCAGCGGCAGCAGCCGCCGCCGCGGCGCCUACGGCCGGAGGACGGCGGCUCCGGGGCCGCCUCCACCUCGGCCGCCGCAAUGGCGACGGUGGGGGAGCGCAGGCCCCUGCCGAGUCCCGAAGCGAUGCUGGGACAGUCGUGGAAUCUGUGGGUCGAGGCUUCCAAACUUCCUGGGAAGGACGGGACGGAAUUGGACGAAAGUUUCAAGGAGUUUGGGAAAAACCGCGAAGUCAUGGGGCUCUGUCGGGAAGACAUGCCGAUAUUUGGUCUCUGCCCAGCCCAUGAUGAUUUCUACUUGGUGGUGUGUAAUGACUGUAAUCAGGUUGUCAAACCGCAGGCAUUUCAGUCACACUAUGAAAGAAGACAUAGCUCAUCCAGCAAGUCUUCUUUGGCUGUUCCUCCUACUUCAGUAUUUUCCUUCUUCCCUUCUCUGUCCAAAAGCAAAGGAGGCAGUGCAAGUGGAAGCAGCCGGUCUUCCAGUGGAGGGGUCCUUUUCACGUCCUCGUCCAGUUCCAAGUUGUUGAAAUCGCCCAAAGAGAAACUGCAGCUCAGGGGGAACACCAGGCCCAUGCACCCCAUUCAGCAGAGUAGAGUCCCCCCUAGUAGAGUCAUGACACCCUCUGUGAAGGUGGAAAAGAUGCAUCCGAAGAUGGAUGGCACACUACUGAAAUCUGCAGUGGGGCCAACCUGUCCUGCUACUGUGAGUUCCUCAGUCAAGCCUGGCCUUAACUGCCCCUCAAUACCAAAGCCGACCUUGCCUUCACCUGGACAGAUUAUGAAUGGCAAAGGGCUUCCUGCACCACCUACUCUGAAAAAAAAAUCUGAAGACAUUUCCAAUAACAGGAAGUUUUUAAAUAAGAGAUUAUCAGAAAGAGAGUUUGAUCCUGACAUCCACUGUGGGGUCAUUGAUCUCGACACCAAGAAGCCCUGUACCCGGUCUUUGACAUGCAAGACACAUUCCUUAACCCAGAGGAGGGCUGUUCAGGGUAGAAGAAAACGAUUUGAUGUGUUAUUAGCCGAGCACAAAAACAAAACCAGGGAAAAGGAAUCGAUUCGCCAUCUGGACUCUCAGCAACCACCACAGCCUCUCAGGGACCCGCAUCCCACCCCUCCUAGAACGUCGCAGGAGCCACACCAAAAUGCUCACGGAGUGAUUCCUUCUGAAUCAAAGCCUUUUGUAGCUAGUAAACCUAAACCUCACACCCCCAGUCUUCCAAGGCCUCCAGGCUGCCCUGCUCAGCAAGGUGGGAGUGCCCCCCUUGACCCUCCUCCAGGCCAUGAAUCUCCACACCCUCCCCUGCCUGCCACUGAGCCAGCUUCUCGGUUAUCCAGUGAGGAGGGCGAAGGCGAUGACAAAGAAGAGUCUGUUGAAAAACUGGACUGUCAUUAUUCAGGUCAUCAUCCUCAGCCAGCAUCUUUUUGCACAUUCGGGAGCCGACAGAUUGGAAGAGGCUAUUACGUGUUUGACUCCAGGUGGAAUCGGCUUCGCUGUGCCCUCAACCUCAUGGUGGAGAAGCAUCUGAAUGCGCAGCUGUGGAAGAAAAUCCCCUCAGUGCCCAGUACCACAUCACCUGUCUCUGCACGUGUUCCUCAUAGGACAAACUCUGUUCCGACAUCACAAUGUGGGAUUAGCUAUCUUGCAGCAGCUACCACCUCUACAUCCCCAGUUCUGCUCUCGUCCACCUGCAUCUCCCCAAAUAGCAAAUCAGUACCAGCUCAUGGAACCACACUAAAUGCACAGCCUGCCACUUCUGGGGCGAUGGAUCCUGUGUGCAGUAUGCAAUCCAGACAAGUGUCUUCUUCAUCCUCAUCCCCCUCCACGCCCUCUGGCCUCUCCUCGGUCCCCUCCUCCCCUAUGGCCAGGAAACCUCAGAAGUUAAAAUCCAGCAAAUCUUUAAGGCCCAAGGAGUCUUCUGGUAACAGCACUAAUUGUCACAACAGCAGUAGCAGUACCAGUGGCGGCUCAGGAAAGAAACGCAAAAACAACUCCCCACUGUUAGUUCACUCUUCCUCUUCCUCCUCUUCUUCUCAUUCCAUGGAAUCUUUUAGGAAAAACUGUGUGGCUCACUCCGGGCCUCCCUAUCCAUCAACAGCAACAUCUUCCCACAACAUCGGCCUCAAUUGUGUGACGAACAAAGCACACUCAGUGAGCCUCCAGCAUGAGCUGUCAGGGAGGGGCCCCCCUGGCGGGAGCCCUGCUGAAUCCAUCAAGAGGAUGAGUGUGAUGGUGAACAGCAGUGACUCCACGCUUUCUCUUGGCCCAUUCAUUCACCAGUCCAAUGAACUGCCUAUCAACUCCCACGGCAGUUUUCCACACUCACACACUCCUCUAGACAAACUCAUAGGAAAGAAAAGAAAGUGCUCGUCUGGCUCCAGCAGUGUCAACAACAGCAGCAGCAAACCCACAAAGGUUGCCAAAUUGCCAGCCAUGAACAACGUCCACAUGAAACACACAGGCACCAUCCCAGGGGCACAAGGACUGACGAACAAUUCCCUCCUUCAUCAGGAUAUCUCCUCACCUUGCUUACGAACAGGAAUUUCAACAGCAGCACCCCAGAGCCCUGACUUAAAAUCCAAAGGCGCGUCCCUGACAGCUGAAAAUAGCACGGGGAGGAAUAAUUUGGACACUUUUGAGGACAAGUUACACCUCCACUCAGCACUCUGGACUCCACGAUGCCUUUGAGUCUCUUUUCCCAACCUCCUGUGGGCCUCCAGGGUAACUGCCAGGCCGUUGUUUCCACGAGGAUUUCCCUGAAGCUGUGUCUGUAGCAGUGAGUACUUUAAAGGACACUGGAUCGAGUUCAGCACCGGAUUGCUUUUAUCAGUGCUAAAGUGGUCUGGACUGCUUGCUACCAAUCUGUGACAAGUUUUUGUUUGUUUUUUUAACUUGCAGUAUAUCACGGAGCCACUCUUUGAAGAGAUUGGCUGGGCAAAAGAAUGUUUUGGCAAGAGCGUUAUUGUAGACUUUUCUCUUUUCUCCCUCUCCCUACCAGUUUCUUUUUUCUUACACGCUGUCUUCUGUAGAUCACUCUCCAGCAGAUAGGCACCUUAGCUGGAGAUUGGAAACCUUCCAGAGGAAAGAGAGCUGUACUCUGAGCAGCUUUCUGGAGAAGGGAAUUUGGCGUUAGAUUUUUAUAGCAGUGUUUCAGAAAUAGAACGUGAUAUUGGCUCAAGGCAUCAUGACACAUUAGCCCAGCCUUUUGCAUGUAAUUUGGGAUAUGAAGCUGUCAGAAGCUUUGAACUUACAAACUGGUUUGAAGCCAUUGAUGCCUACCUAGGCAGCAAGUAUCAGUCAUUAUGGAGGCUUAACUUUUUAUGGUACAAAACCAAUUCUAUGUGAUAGGAAAAACAUAAAAUGGAAACUAGUUUUGAUAAUGGACAGCCAAAUCAAGGCAGAUGGUGGGGGAAGGUAAAAUCCCUGUGGGGGUGAAAACUUUUUCCAGGAUUUCCAAAGAGAUGGAAUUUUCCUGUUAAACAGUAUGUCAGAUUGAAUUGAUUGUCAUGCUCUGUUUUUUAAGAUUUGCCUUUUUAAACUGAAAUUAUUAGGAUUUACUUAAAUAUUUCCAAGGCAUUACCCCUCCCCCCCCCAUUUUCCUCUCUGGAUAUCAUCCCUGAGAUGAAGUAUAAAUUUCUGCUUCCACUGCUGUGGGCAUUGUUGUGUGUCCCCACAUACCUUCAGGCCCCAGCAGGUGUUUAUCUGGAUGCAGAGAGCAGACCCCAAGGUUGGGGAAGUUGGGAAGUAUAUUCAUAUGCCCAUGUGGAGGCUUUGUGUGAGGCCUGCAUAGUGUUUCCUGACACACACCCUCCUGUCUUGGGAUCAGAGAGGUUUGGAACCCUCCAAGAUAUUUUUGUAGUAUUCAAUCCCAAAUGAAAGUUUAAAAUGUUAAAACAGCAUUGCUUAAGAAGGUGUCAUUAAAUUUGGUGACUUGGGUCCUUUUAAUGGGCCAUCCCACCAUCACAACUCCUGAACCAAGAACCAGACCUCUGGCUUAGGAGAACACACAGAGUAGCCGAACACAGGGUAAAAUUUCCAUGGCUCUGAUCAUUGUGCUGGGCAGGGCCUGGACAGAGCCAGUCAGAGUAUCCUUGUUUCCCCACAAUUCUUGGGUUACAAACUUAAGUUUCAGGGAAUUUCAAGUCAACAACAGGUAGAAUGAAUAAAUACUUGGUUACCAGCCUAAUAAUGUGAAUUACUACAGAAUUAUUCUUAUUGUGUAAGAAAACAAAGACUUUAUGCAGAUACUUUAGCUAUAAAUUGAUGUAAAAUACUGAUUUUUUUUUUAAAGGAGGGGAGAACAGUAUCUUGUUCACUUAUUAUGCAAUCAAUCAGUAAAUGUUUUUAAAAUGAUACUAUAGGAGAGCUAGCAAGAAGAGAAUGUGGAUGGGCCAGUUUGGUAUUGUUAGGAGAAAUCAGUCUGGUGGUUCAUCCCAGUGGGGAAGAGAGAUGAGAGGGAAUCGGGACGUACUUAGUGGAUUCCUUGGUGACAAGUGCAAUGGGGUAUGGGUUGAAUUUAUUUUCAAAGCCAAGGGGACUUGAUGGUUAUAAAUUAAGUUGAUUUUAGUGAUGGAAUUUAUAGACAGAUCAUGUUGUUCCGAAAGAUGUGAAUAGAAUCCACACAGUAGCAAGUUGAUUCAGAACAAUGUAGAUACUUAGAUUAGUGAAUGUUGAUCAUUUGAUUUCUUAGACUGAGGUUUUAAUUGAAUUUCAUUAUGUCUCCUGGUAAUACACAGAGCAUUGGGAUUAGGAAAUUAGCCAUUUUGAAUUCUGCCUGCCACAAACAGACCUAUUCUAAACAGUGCUAUUAAAUUUUAGACUGUUCAAAUAUUUUAUUUUCUCCAACAAUGACCUUUUAUUAUGAUGAACAAUUAAGACCAUUUAAAACAUGGGAGGACAUGUAUUUUUUUGAAUUAAAUUAACUUACAAAAACCAAAUUUGCAGUGGUUGGGUUGUUUCUAGACAGACUUUGGUAUCAAUUUAAAACCAAGAUAAUUUUUAUAUUCUUUCCAACAGAAUUUCAUGACAACUUCUGCAGUUUUCUUAACCUUCAAAAAAAGUGCUGCAAUGAUGAACAAAGAAUUAUACAAAACCUACUUUUGUAUCUUUAUUUUGGGAUUUCUUGUUCUAUUAUAAAUAUGGAAGUAUCCCUAUUUCAGAAGACAUAUUUUGUUAAAAAUGAAUUGUACAUAUUUAAAUAUGUAUUUUUGCACAGGUCUUUUUUUCUGAUAUCCUGUUUUGGUACAAUUGAGAUCAUCUAGUAUUUAUUUAUUAAUUAAUAAAAGUAAAUACCUUUUUAUAAUUUGAAGUGGUUCACUGCCAAGCCAAUAGUUCUAGAACCUGCCUCCUUUACAGUUUAAGGGAUGCCUCUGUUCUGUGAAAGUCUUUGUCCCUUUUAAUGUCUCGGGAGUGGAUUCAUACAGAUGAAGUGGGCAUUGCUUCUCCUUAGUUGCCUGAUUUCCUGAUAGACUACAUGUAACUAAGUGACACACUGCUUUUCAUUUGUUAGUAUUUUAUGUGCGAGUGUGUGUGAGCGCAAGUGUGUGUGUGUAUACACUCUGAGCACACGUGUAUUAUUAGUAUGUUAUGUGGGUUAAAACUAAUUGAAAAACUGAAAGUGCCUGAACUUAGUUUUAAGCUUAGACAGAUUCUCUUUAAAAAGACUUGAAUGUUCAGUUGAAUUUCUGGAGUUUGCUUUUUCUGCUUAACUAUUGUUUCUAAAAUUUUAGGGGAGGAGUUGAAAACCACCAGUGCUGGUAAAUUUUAUAAGAUAUUUUAAAUUUAAGACCUUUAGGUUCACAGUAAUUUGACUGGCAAUGGAUUGACCAGUGGCACCAAGGGUUAAAAAUCUUUUGUCAGCCAGCAACUUACAUGAUGUGUCUGCUUUGUUAGUAACUCAUGAAAUACAGAGUUUAAAAUAGAAUAUUUAAAAUAUUUUGUAUUCCAAAAUAUAAUACAAAGAAGUAUACCUCUGAGGACAUUGAAAAAAAUGUAUAAUUUGAAAACCAUAACUUAAAAGGCAGCUGUCUUCCUGCAAGAGUUCUGUUGCCAAGGAAUUUCUUAAUGUCUCUCAUUCUGUCCUGGGUGGGGGGAAAGUUGGGCUUUGAAAAAGUGAUUGUUAAACGUUUCAUUGUUUAGAGGAAAAUAAUCAUUUUUACAUCUUGUGCAAAACAUUUUACGUUUUCAGAUCAUUUAAAUGAGCACUACAUACUGUCGGUGUGAAUGUAGGGCCUUGAAAGCAUUUUGCUUCGUUUUUUGGGUUUUUGUUUUUUUGUUUUGUUUUGUUUUGUUUUGUUUUGUUUGAGCUUGGUUAUAAAAGCAAUCUCCUGUGUUAAAAUGUGUGAAUAGUUUGAUAAUGUGUACACAUAAUCAAGAGCAUCUCAGCUGGACUUUGUGUUGGCUGCUGUAUAGAACAUGAACAAAUGUCAAGGGAUAGAAAAUUACUUUGGAUAUUUAAAAGAGAAGAAAUAUAUAGUCUAUUUGUUUUGUAACAAGUUUCUGUAAAUAAAAUAAUUUAUACUAUUUAUAAGAAAAAGUUGUGCUUUGCUUUAUGAGAUACUAGUUUAUGGAACAAACAUGUUACUAAACAGGCAAUAAAAUUAGGACUUCUCAAUAAAUAAGGUUGGCUGCAUGAAAUAUUUCACAUGUUUCUGCCUCUUGAUACUAAGCCCUCUCAGUCUAGUUUGCCUCUUUACAUCAGACAUCCUUGGGAAGCACCUGCACUUUAGCCUCCCUCCAGUAUAAGCCAAAUAAAUACUUCUGAGGCAUUAGGAUGUUUCCAUUCCUGGCACAGAAUUUUGCCUUGGGUAAGUCAGUUAACUGAGUACACACUGGAUACUACUGUAUUUUGGCCCUGCAGGUUUGUGAAGGAAAUGGGGGGAAGGAGAGAAUUGAUAUUUGAAAACUCCAUUCUGUUUGAACUUGCUUAUCUGUAAAUUUGAUGACAAGCAGUCAGUUUUGACUGGAGUUUUUUUUUGUUUUUAGCCAGAGCUAGUCUAAUCUCUUCCUUAUUUUUAAAUACCUCCCUUACUGGCCAUACAAAAGCAUUUAAUUAUUAUUCUGAAUGUAACAUUUUAUGCAUAGAAAUCUGGUCAGUUUUACCAUUUAUAGAUAAAUCAUUCCAGUACGUUGAAUUUUUUUGUUGCUUAAGAUAAGGGGAGCAACUGCUUUGUGUAUUGGGGGAAAAAUGUUCAAAUCUUACAUCAAGGAGCCAGACUGGCAUCAGUCCCCACUGUCUAAUGGACCUCCCAUUCCCUUCUUAGAUCAACCAGUGACUGGAUGCAAUUAUAAGAAGCUCCUGUGGAUAAAUCCUUCUACUGUGAGUGUCCUCGGACCUUCCAGGAAAUGGAUCACCCACUCAAUCUUUUACCCUUUUUACUUCCAUUCCCUUGCAGGUAACCUCGCCCUGGAUAGCAAGAGAGACCAUCUCAAUUCAAGCAAGAGGAUUUGGCAGUUUGGACCUUGGCAUAUGGAAUUUCACUGGAAGAAAGACAGGGUAAGGUCAUUUUGGGCAGAGGAGCAAGUGGGACAAAGGUGGGAAGAAAUGUGAGAAAAUAAUUCUGCAUGAAACUUGGUGGGGGUUGAAGGAGUUAAGUGUAAGAUUGUUAAGGACCUUUAUUGUCAUGAAGCCUUUGUCUUUACAACAUAUGGGAUCAACCUCAUAUUAACUCUGACAUGUAAUUGUCAGAGCCCAGAGAUGUCGCAAAGUCCAGUCCCAACACUGUACAGCUACCAAAAGGAAGAGCCAUUGAUAUCUUUACUGGACACUGUGGGAAUCAAAGGUGCACUAAAAUCUAUUUCCUUGUUUCUUGCAUUUUCACUAAAAGCAACUAAUUAGAUUGGUCUUUUACCUUGUAAAGCAACCAGUUGGCCAGUUACCUGUUUUCUACAACUAAAGGGCACGGAACAAAGCUGGCAGUAUAAGAGUAUCUCCUAGGAGAUACUUCUUGCCUCCAACGUAAGCCUUUACCCUCCUAUGAAAAGCGCUUUCCCCUAAGUGUUCUCUGUUCUUAUACACCUUUCUCCUCUUUAAGUCUUUCUUCUAAGAAGCUCUUAAUCCUGUUGCUAAAGUAUUUGGUUAUAAUUUAAUACUUUUCCUAAAAAUCUCCAUAACUUAGGGUCCUCCACUAACUAUGGGAAGACACAAUGGACAGGUGAAAACCUUGGAACAAAAAUAAUUUGCAAAGCUAUUGUAAUAAUUCAGGUAAGACCUACUGAGUUUCUAAACUAAGGCUGUGAUAAUAGGAAUUACAAGAACUGAUAUUUUAUGUAUAAUUUUGUGGUGCUGCGGAUCAAACCCAGGGCCCCAUUCGUGCUAGGCAAGCACUUUACCACUGAGCUGUAUCCCCAGCCCUUAGAAAUCUUUUAAAGGUAAAACCAACAGCCUUGAAGGUGUAAUUAUGUUGACUGUUAAAGAGUGAAUGAGUCUAAGAUGGUUUAUAUAUCCAGCAUGGCCAAAGCAAUUGAUGAGUAUGAAAUGAAAUGUGACAUGGUAACAGAAAAGAAAAAAAAAAAAUGUAACAAUGGAUUUAAAUUGCCAGGGGAAAAAGAAAGUUUGUGCCCAGUUGGUUGUAGACUCUAGAUGAAGCAUAGUUAAGAAGUUUGAGCUAUGAAUAGAGAGGAAGUUGUUUUUCACUUUUAGGUGGGAAAUGAGGUCAUGGCAGUAAAUUUACCUGGGAAAAAUAGGUAAUUCUUGUAUUUGGCUUAUUAUUAUGCCAAAAUAAUUCUUACUUGUAAGUCUUAUUAGUGAGCCAGAUAUUAUAGCAAGCAUUUUACAUACUUUCUGUCUCUCACAAAGCUUUUGGAAGGCAGGUAUUUUGACCCCAACUAUAAUGAUGAACUUUUAAGGUGGUAUCUUGCCUCAGGUCCCUCAUCUAGUAGGUAGCAGAAUGAGGCUGUGAAUACCAGACUGUUCUUAAUGUUUUUAUUUUUGGUCACGGACUCCAAGAAUCACAGGCACACCACACUUAAUACUCUAUUUCCAGGAUUUCACAAACCCUCAAGCCCACCUUUGAAGGCCCAGAGAGAGAACACAGCCUAGGACAAAACUCUAGCCAAGAGUACUGUGGUGAAGACAGAUGCAGAAGCAGCAAUUCAGAGUGAAGCAUCAGAGAAGUAAGGGAAAGCAAGAGGUGACUCGGAAAGGGUUUAGAGUAAGAAGUUUAGAGAUUUAACCAUUAUAAUUACCCACAACCUUAUGUAAUUUUUUUUUCUGUUAUUUUCUCAAGAUAAUGAGAAUAAUAGGUAUUUGUUGGGUAGAAAAGUUUGGAGGUUGCCAAAGAAUUAAGAGUAUAGGCAAAGAUGUGGCUAAGUGACUAAUGAGGGUAUAGAUGUUGAGUAUUGAAAGAAGAGAACUAGAAGCUACCAAAGAAUCUAGGCAGGCACUGUCAAGACACUUGUUUGAUUGCAAAGAGGGGCUAACUCCCAUGGCAGGUGAAGGAACCAGUUUUUAAGGUGGUCACAGUACUUUGAGGAAUAGGCCAAAGUAUGGAAUAGGAUACCAGGGUCUAAGUGGAAAGGUUUCAUUUUCAAAAGUAGAUCUAUUCGGAGAUGGUGGUGACUCCUAAGUGAAAGUAUGACAGUGGAUGGAAGUAGCAUGUAGAAAAAGAGCACUGGAGUUAAGACUUGGGAUCUGUGAAGUUAGGGUAUUUAGUGUAGAACUUGUCUGUUUCAAAGUUCUUAGCAGGAUAACUAAGCCAGCUGUUCAGAUCUGGAAUAACCUAGAGGAGGUAGAGGUGGGAAGUUGGAAGUCUGUGACUGAGGACAGACAGCGAGUACAGGGUACUUAGUGGUAAGUAGGUUCACAGGAAGGCAUUCUGAAUGAGCAGAACCAAUGGCCUGGAAAGGGACUAGGAAUUAGUGGAUGUCAUCUUGGUUCCAGGUUUCUGAGGUGUAUGUGAAUGAACAGCUUCUAACCCAGAGGGGUCCAAGAAAAGCUGAGUAAGGCCUCAAAAGUCAAAUGUAGAGUUUAUCAGCGUGAUAUUAUACUAAUCAAACUUUGGAAAAGCAGGUCUCUGGUAACUUCUGAAAGGCAGGGUUGGUAUAGUUGUUGAAACACCCCCUAGUGGCAACUUUCCCGUUGACCUUUCAUGAUGGAAAGGUGACAUAAUAGCUGAAAGGAAAGCUAAUCAUUCUUUUGGCAAAUGAAUGAAUUCUUUGGCAAGUAAAAGUUUGCUUUACUUCUUAAACCUAGUCUGUACAGAGACCGUUAUACCAUUAUUUCUGAAUGACAACAGCUUUCUCUCUUCACAGUAUACUUCAAGACCACAAAGGGUUUGGAGGACACUGCUGAAAGUACUUGAUAUAUCAUUUUGCUUAUCUUCAGAAACACAAGAACAAUGGCAGAUGGCUAAAUGCUACAAGCAAGGAAGAAGAAAGUGUUGGGGACUUUCCUUUUAAGGCCACAGUAAGCCUCAGCCUUGAUCAAAAAAAGCCAUAGUUGCUGGCCAAGUAGUUUUACAGGUGAGAGCUAAAAGAAAGCAUUAUUUCAAUCUUUUCUUGUACCCUGAGCUACAAAGUCAAUUUGCUAAAAAUAGUGUUCUGCUCAGUCUAAAUGGACACAAGGAACUCAGCAAGUUCUCAGUGAUUUUCAGAAUCAUAGGGCACUUUUUGUUCAUAAGCAUUUUUAGAAAUUCUUAAGUGGCUGUUCUCAAAUGCUUUACUACAGAUGUCCAACUAAAAGCCUCCACACAGUACCUCCAAGAAACUCAAGCACAGCUUUAGCCACGCUGCACUCUUUACCCCACAUACCAGUGGCUCCUCAUCUGACAACACUGAUAGUAGUCACAGCUGGACUUUGAAGACCAAGAAAAACUGCAUCAUUAACUUUGAAAGUAAACCACUGAGAUCACAUAGUCUGAAUGUCUACUGCCACCGUAACAUCACCUCUGUGUACUGAACAACCCAACUCAUCUCUAUCCCCUUCUCUCUUUAGGAUGCAACAUGAAACCAUGUCACUUCCAUACCUAAAAGCCUCUAAUGGCAUCCCAAAACCUAGGUUAAAAUUCAAACUUCACAGCAUGAAAUAAACUACAAGGUCCUACACCAAUAACUUAACCUCCCUCACUCUCAACCUUAGUGCUCACAGGCAACUGCUUCUCCUGGAGUGAUCUGCAACAACCCGGCUAAAAACCCUGCAUUUGCUAUUUCUGUUUCUGCAUCUUGGCUGACCCUCAAUCUUAGAGUACACCUUUACCUCCUCAGACAUGCUAUUUCUAAGGUAGACUUCAGAGGAUGUGCAAAAAAUAUGCAGUGAUCUAAGUCAUCAUGAUAGCUACAGUGAGAUCAACAAAGUAACAAGUACUCUAAUGAUCUUUAACAAACCAGCUUGCUUUUCUCAUCUGACACUGGAAGGAGCAGGCUGUAAGGAAGGAAGAGAUGACAGCCAUGACUGUUCGCAAAAUACUUUGAAAAAAAAUUCUUGCAGUUUUUUUCCCCCCCUUAAAAUUGAUGGAAGCAACGCAAACAGAAAAUGUAGAAAAACAUUAAAAGGGAAUUUAAAACAUAGGUUAACAGGAUGUUAUUUAAACUUACUGAUCAAUGAAUUCCACACCAACACCAAAUGCUUCUGCCAUA